rnacentral:rRNA from 1 species
UACGAAGGGGGCUAGCGUUGCUCGGAAUCACUGGGCGUAAAGCGCACGUAGGCGGACUCUUAAGUCGGUGGUGAAAUCCUGGAGCUCAACUCCAGAACUGCCUUCGAUACUGGGAGUCUCGAGUCCGGGAGAGGUGAGUGGAACUGCGAGUGUAGAGGUGAAAUUCGUAGAUAUUCGCAAGAACACCAGUGGCGAAGGCGGCUCACUGGCCCGGUACUGACGCUGAGGUGCGAAAGCGUGGGGAG